rnacentral:rRNA from 1 species
AGAGUUUGAUCCUGGCUCAGAACGAACGCUAGCGGUGUGGUUAAGGCAUGCAAGUCGAACGAACUUACUUCGGUAAGUGAGUGGCGAACGGGUGAGUAAUGAAUGGGCAACGCAUCUCGGACUCAGGGAUAGCGGCGGAGCUUCGGCUCCUUUGCGAAAGUGCCGGUAAUACCUGAUAAUCCCACGAAAUCGCAUGGUUUUGUGGGCAAAGGUCCGCCGGUCCGGGACCGGCCCAUUUCCUAUCAGCUUGUUGGUGAGGUAACGGCUCACCAAGGCGUCGACGGGUAUCCGGCGUGAGAGCGCGACCGGACACAUCGGGACUGAGACACUGCCCGGACACCUACGGGUGGCUGCAGCAACGAAUAUUCCGCAAUGGACGAAAGUCUGACGGAGCGACACCGCGUGCAGGAUGAAGCCCUUCGGGGUGUAAACUGCUGUCAGGGGUAAGGAAAAUUUGACCGACCCCAAAGGAAGUAUCGGCUAAUUCCGUGCCAGCAGCCGCGGUAAUACGGAAGAUACAAGCGUUGUUCGGAAUUAUUGGGCUUAAAGCGCGUGUAGGCGGGACGGUAAGUAUCUUGUGAAAUCCCUUGGCUCAACCGAGGAAUUGCAGGGUAUACUGCCGUUCUUGAGGCAAUCAGGGGCACCCGGAACUCUAGGUGGAGCGGUGAAAUGCGUAGAUAUCUAGAGGAACGCCGGUGGCGAAAGCGGGGUGCUGGGAUUGUUCUGACGCUGAGACGCGAAAGCGUAGGUAGCGAACGGGAUUAGAUACCCCGGUAGUCUACGCCGUAAACGAUGCGCACUAGGUUAAAGGGGUUUAAUCGCCCUUUGGGCCGAAGCAAAAGUGUUAAGUGCGCCGCCUGGGGAGUACGGCCGCAAGGCUAAAACUCAAAGGAAUUGACGGGGGCUCACACAAGCGGUGGAGCAUGUGGAUUAAUUCGAAGCAACGCGCAGAACCUUACCUGGGUUUGACAUGCACGGAUACGCUCUUGGAAACAGGAGGCAGUUGCCCUCGUGGUGAAACGUGCACAGGUGCUGCAUGGCUGUCGUCAGCUCGUGCUGUGAAGUGUUGGGUUAAGUCCCCUAACGAGCGAAACCCUUGUCGUUAGUUGCCAGCGGGUAAAGCCGGGGACUCUAGCGAGACUGCCGGUGUUAAACCGGAGGAAGGUGGGGAUGACGUCAAGUCCUCAUGGCCCUUAUGCCCAGGGUGUCACACGUGCUACAAUGGGACGUACAGAGCGACGCAAUACCGCGAGGUGGAGCAAAUCGCAGAAAACGUUCCUCAGUUCGGAUUGGAGUCUGCAAUUCGACUCCAUGAAGUCGGAAUCGCUAGUAAUCGCGAAUCAGAACGUCGCGGUGAAUACGUUCUCGGGCCUUGUACACACCGCCCGUCACACCAUGGGAGUGAAUUGUACCAGAAGCAGGUAGACUAACCUUCGGGAGGUCGCUUACCACGGUAUGGUCCAUGACUGGGGUGAAGUCGUAACAAGGUAACC